rfam:Hassallia byssoidea VB512170 scaffold_0, whole genome shotgun sequence.
CCAGGCUAAGUCCCCCAGCCUGUUCCCGCCGAAAGGGGCAUAACUGGUAACGGCUGUGUCCUACAGCUUUCGGAAAUGUCUAGAAAACUAACAGUCACAAGUUGGUUCAAGGG